ensembl:lncRNA
CGCAAGAGAGUGAGAUGUGACUGAGCGACGGAACAACCACCGCAGGCGUCUGAAAACACAUUCUUCCCGCGCUGUAGCAUGUGAGGGCACAGAAGUGCCCCUGAGCAAACGUCCUCCGUCCUCCGCCCGCGUCCCGCGCCUUGUAAACUUGUCCUUAAGUUCCAUGCACUCCUGGACCCACUAACAGAAACUCAGAGGAUGCAAGUCCUCUGUUACUUUGAAGGGAGGGGUGGGAGAGGCCGAGCCCCUGCUGGUGGAGACUUGUCUGAGCUCUACAGGCCUGUCGACAACCCAGGAGAGCAGACAUAUCUAUUGUUUUACAACCGGAAACUUAGGCCUAGAGAGGCACUUGGGCUCCUUAGCUGUGAGCCGUCAGCCUGUCUAAGUCAGAUCUUUUUAUCUACAGCACAACUUUCUGUAGGACUUAACAACACGUGGGUGACUCAGAAGAAAGCAGACCCUUGGGGGAUGGGCCACCAUCCACUGUGAGCUGACCUGGCCUUGAGCACAAGGGAAAUCAGGCUGUUAUGGGCACCGGGGGGUGGCAGUUGAGCAGUCACCCUUCUAAAGCGGGGCACUGAAGGAGACUGGGGAAAUAAAAAUGUUCAAGCUUCAAAUUCCCCCCUUUCUGCCAGGUCAAGCUGGAGCUUGUUUUACAGUAGAAAUUAGGCAGCCAGACCGGUCUGUAGGGCACCGAUGUUUUUGUUGAAAAUGUAUGUUUGAUUGGUGAAACAGAGUCUUUUACCAAAUCGAGGGUCUCUUGUGUGUUCUGCAGAAGUGUGCAUGCUUGGUUGUUUAACGUUUUCCUCUUCAUGCUGUUCAACGUCUCUUUUUUCUUUUCCUCUAUCCAGAAAUACCAGUUAAAGAGGGCAAGAAAAUGCUCUCUUUUCUCAGCGUUACACAUCAGGUGGGAAGAAGGCUGUGUUAGGUGAGAGGGUAAGAUCUGGUUAUAAUAAAACCAGGCAGCUCAUCCGUGAUUCCAGGCACCAAGAUACCCUCUCUCUCAUCCUCCACUCCCAUGGGGUACUAUGCUCAGAUGGUCAAAAGAGGGAAGCUGGGUGAUGGGCCUGCAAAGAUUUUCACUGAUUUUUCUCUGUUUACCCUUUUCUAUGUGCUAUUCCUAGAUCUUCAGUAUUAUCUAGGCAAGAGGAUCAUUUGUUUGCAACGAGUGAAAACAAACUGAAUCUUGCCUAGUGGUCUGGUGAUAAAGACUCCAUGCUUCCACUGCAGAAGAUGCUAUUUCAACCCUCGGUUGGGUAACUAAGAUCCCGCAUGCCUCAAGAUGCAGCUCCUGUCCAACCCCCGCUGCC